rnacentral:rRNA from 1 species
GAACGAUGAAGCCCUUCGGGGUGGAUUAGUGGCGAACGGGUGAGUAACACGUGGGCAAUCUGCCCUGCACUCUGGGACAAGCCCUGGAAACGGGGUCUAAUACCGGAUACUGAUCGCCUUGGGCAUCCUUGGUGAUCGAAAGCUCCGGCGGUGCAGGAUGAGCCCGCGGCCUAUCAGCUUGUUGGUGAGGUAAUGGCUCACCAAGGCGACGACGGGUAGCCGGCCUGAGAGGGCGACCGGCCACACUGGGACUGAGACACGGCCCAGACUCCUACGGGAGGCAGCAGUGGGGAAUAUUGCACAAUGGGCGAAAGCCUGAUGCAGCGACGCCGCGUGAGGGAUGACGGCCUUCGGGUUGUAAACCUCUUUCAGCAGGGAAGAAGCGAAAGUGACGGUACCUGCAGAAGAAGCGCCGGCUAACUACGUGCCAGCAGCCGCGGUAAUACGUAGGGCGCGAGCGUUGUCCGGAAUUAUUGGGCGUAAAGAGCUCGUAGGCGGCUUGUCACGUCGGUUGUGAAAGCCCGGGGCUUAACCCCGGGUCUGCAGUCGAUACGGGCAGGCUAGAGUUCGGUAG